rnacentral:rRNA from 1 species
CUGGCUCAGGAUGAACGCUGGCGGCGUGCUUAACACAUGCAAGUCGAACGGAGUUUAAGAAGGAAGCUUGCUUUCAUUUUAAACUUAGUGGCGGACGGGUGAGUAACGCGUGAGGAACCUGCCCUUCAGUGGGGAACAACAACUGGAAACGGUUGCUAAUACCGCAUAAUGUCGGAUUGCCGCAUGACAGACCGACCAAAGGAUUUAUUCGCUGAAGGAUGGCCUCGCGUCC